ensembl:lncRNA
GAAUCUCACUUGGUUGGUGCCAACAAGACAACAGUGCACGAGGAAUCAAAAAUAAUGCUGUGGGUCAGUAGUACAAGGCUAUGGGUUAGUAAUAUAAGGCUAUGGGUUAGUAGUAUAAUGCUAUGGAUUAGUAGUAUAAGGCUAUGGGUUAGUAGUAUAAGGCUAUGGGUUAGUAGUAUAAUGCUAUGGGUUAGUAAUACAAGGCUAUGGGUUAGUAAUAUAAGGCUGUGGGUUAGUAAUACAAGGCUAUGGGUUAGUAAUACAAGGCUAUGGGUUAGUAAUAUAAGGCUAUGGGUUAGUAAUAUAAGGCUAUGGGUUAGUAAUAUAAGGCUAUGGGUUAGUAAUAUAAGGCUAUGGGUUAGUAAUAUAAGGCUAUGGGUUAGUAGUAUAAUGCUAUGGAUUAGUAGUAUAAGGCUAUGGGUUAGUAGUAUAAGGCUAUGGGUUAGUAGUAUAAGGCUAUGGGUUAGUAAUAUAAGGCUAUGGGUUAGUAGUAUAAUGCUAUGGAUUAGUAGUAUAAGGCUAUGGGUUAGUAGUAUAAGGCUAUGGGUUAGUAAUAUAAGGCUAUGGGUCAGUAGUAUAAGGCUAUGGGUUAGUAAUAUAAGGCUAUGGGUUAGUAAUAUAAGGCUAUGGGUUA